UGACUCUUGAUAUUAUUGAACAUCCAUACCUUGUGGUGUAUAUGAUAUUAUUGAUUUGAAGUAUGUUUGGCCUUAGUCUAGGCUUAGACUAGUGUUGCCAUAGACUUGCGAGGUUUCAGAUGUCGUUGGGCAGUAGAACUUUUUCCGACGUCGUUUCGGACGGUCAGCUCCUUGUAGACUGAUAUAGCAGACUUGAGUCUCAUAGUCUGAGCCUUAGCUAGGCGGUAACUCAUCUUAUGACCUUGAAUCUAUAAUUCCCUGCUUUUCUAUCGGCUACAGUACCCGAUUAGAGUCCGUGGUCCAGCUUACCUGUGAUCUGAUUUUGGCUACAGUACCCGGUAAGAGUCCGUGGUCCAGCCCACCCGUGCCCGACCUUUGGCUACAACACCCGGUUCGAGGCCGUGGUCCAGCCCAUAUAGGUUGACUCAUUAUCUAUAGUACCCGGUUCGAGUCCGUGGUCCAGGUUGCACGUGGUGCAUUCCCAAUUCUUUACUGAAGCUUCAGUUUAGUCCUAAUUACUCUCAUCUGUAGGUUGAGGUUUUGGAGGUUGGAGAUGUUCCGAUUAAAGUCUGGGACGUAAUGAGAUCUUGGAAUAUAAUUGGGAAUGGUUCAGUUAACGUCCGGAAAUUGGUAAUAUUAUGAUAGCCUUCUAGCUCCAUUAUUUUACUUCAACUGUCGGUGUAUCUGCCAGGUUUAUGGGGGUCCGUGCAGGUGAGUUCUUUUAUUGUGCGUGAGCGUACCCAUCGGGUUUAUGGGAGCCCGACGGAGUUAGUUAGAUUCCUUGUCUUUGUUGCCUGUACGCUCGUGUACAUACCCACAUUUACUAUUGUUUUACCCUUGAUAGUGACCCUUUAUUUGCAUUUCAGUUCACUUUUGUUUAACUUGCUCAGUCGGCCUGAUGCCUACUAGGUACCUGUUGUUUUGGUACUCAUACUACACUCUGCAUCUAUUUUCGUGAUGCAGGUCCGAGUACUAGCUACCGACGUUGAUUCAAGCCAUCUGCGAUUGUGAUCGGAGGCAAGGGUGAGCACACAACGCCUUGAUUUGCCCGUCUUCUUCUGUACUUACUUUUGCUUGUCUUUUGCCUUUUUAGACUGCUUGUUUCUGUGGUCCACUUUUAGGACUUGUACUUUUGUUAGCAGCUCUGUACUUGUGACUUCCAGGUUUUGGGAGGUAUUAAUUUUGUGUAUAUAUGUCUAGUCGCUUUCGCCCGUUCAUUGCAUGUUCUUAUUAUAUUUAUUACUAUUUUAGGUUGAUUGGUUGGUUUUCUACCCUAACAUCCCAUUACAUCGAGUUCCGGGAUAUGGGUCGGCUUGCCUACUGGUGGGUCAUAUAGUAGGCGCCAUCAGGACCUGAGAAAUUGGGUCUUGACAAAUUGGUAUCAGAGCCCCAGGUUCGUCGGUCUCACUUGUACAGAGCUAACGUCUAGUAGAGUCUUGCAGAUCGGUACGGAGACAUCCGUUACUUAUCUUUGGGAGGCUACAAGAUGUCUUUAUGAACGUGUCGCUUUUGAAUCACUGUCGUGCACUGUCUGUCUUAUCGGUUUCUGAAAAUCUUACUUGAUCCACUCUUUUACAGGGAUGGCUCGCACGCGUGGUAGGUCCUCAGCUAGGGGUAGAGGCCGACCUCGAGGUCGUGCCAGAGAUACAGCACCAGCCCAGGACCGAGACCAAACUCCGGAGCCGAUUAUAGAGGCACCAGCAGCUUCAGCACAGCAGCAACCGAUGGGCCCGGGACAAGCCUAACCACCGCCCGAGCCUGUGGCAGCUCCAGGCAUACAGGCGAUGCUCGUACAGAUACUAGCUGCCAUUGGUGGUAUGCAGCAGGCCCCAGCUUCAGCCGCUCCAGUACCUCAGGGCCAGCCUGCACCAGCGACACCGGUUGUUCAUCCUGACGAGUUAGAGGGCGUCAUGCCACUUCGGGAGCAGAAGAUGCUCGGGGUGUUCCUUAGACUAUCACCGUCGAGGUUUUCUGGGGCUGUGGGUGAGGCUGCCCAUGAGUUUCUAAUUACUUGCCGUGAGCAGCUACAGACUUUGGGUUUAGUGGAGUCGAGAGGAGCAGACUUCACCGCUUACCAGCUAGACGGUCCCGCCAGGCAGUGGUUGCGUACAUACUUAGAGACCAGGCCAGCUGGGUUUCCACCGGUCACAUGGACUGAGUUUUCAGAGGUCUUCUUGGCCCUAUUUAUUCCCAGGAGCAUCAAAGAUCAGCUCAGAGAUCAGUUUGCUCGGUUAGAGCAGGGCUCUAUGACAGUAUCAGAGUAUGAGGCCCGAUUCCACGAGAUCUCCAGGCAUGCCGCCAUGAUAUUACCAACUGAGGAAGAGAGGGUUCGUUGUUUUGUUCGGUGUUUGAGACUACAGUUGCGGUUUGAGACUCAGUCUUUAGUCUCAGCGGGCCGCUCAUUUCUGGAUGUAGUGGACCAUGUCCGCACUAUUGAGCAGCUCCGUCGCGAGGCCUAAGGGGGCAGCGACAAGAGAGCUAGACAGGUGGAUAGUCAUGAUAGGCGUCGUUUCAGACCCCGAGAGUCUUAUGAUAGAUCUCAGCAGAGGUUUCAGUCGGGUCAGUCUAGUCGCCCCUUCCAGGCCUCUCUCCAGGCCUCUCUCCAGGCAUCGGAGGGUGAUCAGCACCGCCAUAUUGGUUUUAGUGCCGGUCCUAGUCGGGGCUGAGAUAGUUCGCAGAUGGCUUCUUUUGGCCGGGGUAGACGACCUCCAGCUCUCACUCGACAGUCCUAGGGGUGCUAUGGGUGUGGGAAGUUAUAUCAUUGGGCCCGCGAGUGUCCCCAUCGCAGGUUAGCCUUACCCGCUCCACAGGCAGUUAGGCAUGCGCCAGCGCCAGCACCUCCAGCUAGAGGCAGAGGCCAGAGAUAGGACCGCAGGGGUGGUCACCAGGGUAUACGGGGUGGUCCCCGAGGAGGUAGGUUAGGGGGCAGAGCUAAUGCACAGGGUAGGGGAGGCCAGGCCCACUUUUAUGUAGCUCCAGCUAGAGCAGAUGCUUAGACCUUGGACGAAGUGAUCACAUGUACAGUGUUAUUAUGCCAUUAGCCCGCAUCCGCCAUAUUUGAUCCAGGCUCUACUUAUUCUUAUAUAUCUGUUUAUUGUGUUCCUCGAUUGAGUAUGAGCCCAGACCUAUUGGUUGAGCCGUUGCGUGUUUCGAUCCCGGUAGGUGAUUCUUUAGUAGUGGAUCAGGUAUUUAGAUCUUGUAUGGUGACUAUUCAGAGGCGAGACACUAGGGUUGAUCUCAUUUUGCUUGACAUGGUGAAUUUUGAUUUGAAUUUGGGUAUGGAUUGGUUAUCCCCCCACCGUGCGGUCUUGGAUUACUAUGCCAAGACCGUUACUUUAGCCAUGCCUGGUAUUCCACCAGUGGUGUGGCGGGGCUCUUGUAGUCGCACGCCAGUUGGGGUGAUAUAUUUUGUUCGGGCCCAGAGGUUGAUGGCUAGCGGGUGUAUGACUUAUUUAGCUUAUGUUAGAUAUGUUAGUAGGGAGAGUCCUACCGUUGAUUCAAUACCUAUUGUUCGAGAGUUUACAGAUGUGUUUCCUACCGAUCUGCUUGGUCUCCCUCCUGAUCGUGACAUUGACUUUCCUAUUGAAGUAGAGCCGGGCACUUAGCCUAUUUCUAUACCACCGUACCGUAUGGCCCCCGUAGAGCUCAAGGAGCUCAGUGUUCAGAUUCAGGAUCUCUUAGAUAAGUGAUUCAUUCGGCCUAGUGUAUCUCCUUGGGGUGUCCCAGUGCUCUUCGUGAAGAAGAGGGACGGUACUAUGCGAUUGUGCAUCGAUUACAGGCAGUUGAACAAGGUGACGGUGAAGAAUCGUUACCCCAUGCCUAGGAUUGAUGAUCUAUUUGACCAACUUCAGGGUGCUGUGGUAUUUUCUAAGAUUGAUUUAAGAUCCGGCUACCAUCAGUUGAGGAUUAGGGCAGUGGACGUCCCUAAAAUUGCAUUUAGGACUCGUUACGACCACUAUGAGUUCCUAGUGAUGUCUUUUGGGUUGACUAACGCCCCUGCCGCGUUCAUGGACUUAAUGAUUAGGGUGUUUAGGCCGUACUUGGAUUCGUUUGUCAUAGUCUUCAUAGAUGACAUUCUAGUAUACUCGCGGAGCCGGGAGGAGCAUGAGCAGCAUUUGAGGAUAGUGCUCCAGACUUUGAGAGGCCAGCGAUUUUAUGCCACGUUCUCAAAGUGCGAGAUUUGGCUUGAGUCCGUGGCAUUCUUGGGGCACGUGGUGUCUAAGGAUGGCAUUAUUGUAGAUCCCGCUAAGAUUGAGGCCAUUCGUGAUUCGGCCAGGCCCACCUCUGUGACUGAGAUUCGUAGCUUCGUCGGAUUGGCAGGCUACUACAGGCAUUUUGUUGAGGGAUUUUCUACUAUAGCAGCGCCUUUGACUUGGUUGACUCGCCGGGAUGUUUCGUUUGUGUGGUCGGAGGAGUGUGAGAGGAUUUUUCUGAGGCUUAAGGAGUUUCUUACCACCGCUCCUAUAUUGACUCUUCCAGUUGAGGGCGAGGGGUUUAAUGUUUAUUGUGACGCAUUCGGCAUCGGUUUGGGUUGUGUACUGAUGCAGUAGGGCCGCGUUAUUGCUUAUGUGUCGAGGCAGCUUACGCCGCACGAGCGCAACUACCCCACUCAUGCGUUAGAGUUGGCGGCGGUAGUUUUAGCGCUUAAGAUUUGGAGGCAUUACCUGUAUGGAGUUCGAUGGGAGUUCUAUACUGAUAACAGGAGCAUUCAGUACAUUAUGAGCCAGAGGGAUCUUAAUUCGAGACAGUGCCGUUGGAUUGAGCUCCUGAAGGACUAUGACCUCUCUAUUCUCUACCAUCCGGACAAGGCGAAUGUAGUAGCGGACGCCUUGAGUCGGAAGGCAGUGAGUAUGGGUAGUCUAUCAUUUCUUUCUACUACGGAGCGACCAUUAGCUUUGGACAUCCAGUCCUUAGCUAACUGGAUGAUACGGCCUGAUAUCUCUGAUUCCCGGUGUGUACUAGCUUAUGUGGAUGCUCAGUCAUCUCUGGUGGAUCGGAUUCAUAGUCGUCAGUUUGAGGAUGAGGACUUAGUGGCACUUCGAGUUAAAGUUUUGGGAGGUGACACUGGCUUGGCUACCUUAGAUUUAGAUGGGGUUUUAAGAUUUGGUGAUCGACUUUGUGUUCCAAGAGUUGGUGGUUUGAUUCAGAUGAUUCUUACCGAGGCCCAUGACUCCAAAUAUUCUAUUAAUCUGGGCACAACUAAGAUGUAUCGGAACUUGAGACAGCACUACUGGUGGAGCGGCAUGAGGAGAGAUAUUGCGGAUUAUGUAUCGCGUUUCUUGAGUUGUCAACAGGUUAAGGCCGAGCAUUUAGGCCUGGUGGCGAGCUUCAGAGAUUACCCAUUCCUGAGUGGAAAUGGGAGAGGAUCACCAUGGACUUCGUUGUAGGAUUACCCCGCACUUCCCGUGGUCUUGGUAGUAUUUGGGUCAUCGUGGAUCGAUUGACCAAGUCAGCACACUUCAUUCCUGUCCAUACUUCCUACAGUGCCAAGAGGUUAGCCCGUAUCUACAUUCGAGAGGUGGUUCGUCUUCAUGGUGUGCCUGUUUCCAGUCAUCUCAGAUCGGGGCCCACAGUUCACAUCUAGCUUCUGGAGGACCUUCCAGGAUGAGUUGGGUACUCGUGUUGACCUUAGUACAACUUUCCACCCGCAGACUGAUGAUCAGUCGGAGCGCACGAUUCAGGUUCUUGAGGACAUGUUGCGGGCUUGUGUUAUGGAUUUUGGAGGUCAGUGGGACCAGUUCUUGCCUUUGGCAGAGUUUGCGUAUAACAACAGCUACCACUCUAGUAUUCAGAUGGCCCCAUUCGAGGCAUUAUAUGGUAGGCGUUGUCGCUCUCCAGUUGGUUGGUUUGAGUCUACAGAGCCCAGGCCGCGCGGUACAGACUUGAUGCGAGAGGCUUUAGAUCAUGUGAGGGUGAUUCAAGAUAGGCUCAGGACAGCCCAGAAUAGACAUCAGAGUUAUGCAGACCGUAGGCGUCGACUAUUGAAAUUUACUGUUGGUGAUAGAGUAUUCCUCUGUGUGUCUCCCAUGAAGGGUAUAAUGAGAUUUGGGAGGCGGGGAAAGCUUAGCCCCAGGUAUAUAGGUCCUUUUGAGAUAUUGAGGACAGUUGGAUGAGGAUGAACUCAUAAAUUUAAAUUCCGUAUUCAUAUCAGUUCUCAGGACUGUUUUCCAGAAGUUCGUAUUAGUAGUAGAAGUUUACCAUUUGCUUGGAAUGGCGUCUCCUCCAAAGUAGUAUCUGUAUAUAUAGGCCAUUACACUUUCUAUCAGUUUAAGGAAACAUUACCUCGUUGUUUUAGUAGUGCAUAUUGUAAUGACCCUCCAGGUCAUUUUUAAAUUAAAGCAUUCAUUCCAUCGUUUAGAGCGUUCCUGUAGCGACCCCAGGUCAUUUAUGACUUGCUGGCACUGACUGUUCGGUCGCCUGGUCGUUCGUUUGGGUUUUGGGCCCGUUUCCCUGUUUUUUGAGAUUUUACAACUUGAAAAGUUGACUUUAGUCAACCUUCUUGAAAGACGUGCUCAAAUGAAAAUUCUGACAGUUAGGUUAGCUUCGGAAUAUCGAUUUUGGUCUAGAACGACCCUUUGUUCACUUCCCGAGGCUUUAGGUGCCCGUUGUGGAAUCUGGCUAAAAACGAUACUGGGUGUGGGACCCACUUUUCAUCUAAGCGAUCUCCAAUGAUCUAAGCGAUCUCCAAUGGAAAUUCCCAUUUCACUGUUUAGUCCGAAAUAUCAUUUCCAAUCAGAUUCCAUAAAUGGUUUGUGUUUUUCCGACUCCGAACGUGUCCAGAAUAUCGAAAAUAUAAGUUUGAAGAGUUGUUGAAUUCUAACGCGGUGGUGACGUGGCAGAGGCACGCGACGCCACGUGGCAGCGUGUUGAAAUCUGGAAAUUUCCAGAUUUAAGGACAAUUUUCGUCCAUUUUUUCCCCUCAUCUUCAAACAUAGAUAUCUCCUCCGUUUUAAGCUCAAAUUAGGUGAUUCAACAGGCUACUUUCAAGAGAAUUUUGUGGGGAAUCUAGAGGUGAGCUCAGAAACGCAAGGGGAGGCUUCAUUUGAGGUAAGGAAUCGAAUUUAGCUACUGCUGGAGUGAUUUUCGGAAUGAAUUUUUGUUGAACUUUGGAAGGUUAGAUCUUGAUCAUCUUUGGUCUGCUUUGAGUCAUUUUUGAGGCUAACUUGUAGAGUUUUUCGCAAGGAUCGUCGUGGUAUAAUCUGUUUGGGUUGGAAGGGUCUCGUUUUUCCAGAAAUUGGUGAUCAAGGGGCUGCCAAGUCAUAAGUCAAGACUUAUUAAUGAUUUUAAUUGUUGGGGCUGAUUUGCUAUGUUUUAGGCAUCUUUUUGUGCUAAAUUUUGGGGUAUUAGUUUAGUAAGGUAUGUGGGACGUUUUCGGGAUUCCAAUUGUGGGUCCCACAAUCCCGUUUUAGACCAAAUUUUGGGUCCGUCUCUGAAAAAUAUAAUUUUAGUGUCAGUAUAUUCGUUAUGACGAGGUGAUUAACCUUUUGAUAGUGGGGAAGCAUUUGGAGACCGUUCGGAGGGGAAAAGAUCUGGUACCGUGAGUUGGAGCACGCGUGAUCGGCUUUCAGGUAGGCUAUGGUUUUUCCCUCAUGAGAUUGAGCAUGUUUAGGCAAUUUUUUAAUGAUUUGCUUGAGUAUGGAGGGGUUCGGGUGUCGAGCGUGCUAAAUUUCUAUAAUUCCUGCCUUAGACCUUAUUUGGGGAAAUUGUUGGAUUAUGACAGCAUGACUCUUGAUAUUAUUGAACAUUCAUACCUUGUGGUGUAUAUGAUAAUAUUGAUUUGAAGUAUGUUUGGCCUUAGUCUAGGCUUAGACUAGUGUUGCCAUAGACUUGCGAGGUUUCGGAUGUCGUUGGGCAGUAGAACUUUUUCCGACGUCGUUUCGGACGGUCAGCUCCUUGUAGACUGAUAUAGCAGACUUGAGUCUGAUAAUCUGAGCCUUAGCUAGG
rnacentral:lncRNA from 1 species